rnacentral:rRNA from 1 species
UGGGGAAUCAUAGACAAUGGGCGCAAGCCUGAUCUUGCCAUGCCGCGUGAGCGAUGAAGGCCUUAGGGUUGUAAAGCUCUUUCACCCGUGAAGAUAAUGACGGUAGCGGGAGAAGAAGCCCCGGCUAACUCCGUGCCAGCAGCCGCGGUAAUACGGAGGGGGCUAGCGUUGUUCGGAAUUACUGGGCGUAAAGCGCACGUAGGCGGACCAUUAAGUCGGGGGUGAAAGCCCAGGGCUCAACCCUGGAAUUGCCCUCGGUACUGGUGGUCUGGAGAACGGGAGAGGCGAGUGGAAUUCCGAGUGUAGAGGUGAAAUUCGUAGAUAUUCGGAGGAACACCAGUGGCGAAGGCGGCUCGCUGGCCCGUUUCUGACGCUGAGGUGCGAAAGCGUGGGGAGCAAACA